rnacentral:rRNA from 1 species
UACGUAGGGUGCGAGCGUUGUCCGGAAUUAUUGGGCGUAAAGAGCUUGUAGGCGGUCUGUCGCGUCUGCUGUGAAAACUCAGGGCUUAACCCCGAGCUUGCAGUGGGUACGGGCAGACUAGAGUGCGGUAGGGGAGACUGGAAUUCCUGGUGUAGCGGUGAAAUGCGCAGAUAUCAGGAGGAACACCGGUGGCGAAGGCGGGUCUCUGGGCCGUAACUGACGCUGAGGAGCGAAAGCAUGGGGAGCGAACAGG